rnacentral:rRNA from 1 species
CAGUCGCCGCGGUAAUACGGAGGGAGCUAGCGUUAUUCGGAAUUACUGGGCGUAAAGCGCACGUAGGCGGCUUUGUAAGUUAGAGGUGAAAGCCUGGAGCUCAACUCCAGAAUUGCCUUUAAGACUGCAUCGCUUGAAUCCAGGAGAGGUGAGUGGAAUUCCGAGUGUAGAGGUGAAAUUCGUAGAUAUUCGGAAGAACACCAGUGGCGAAGGCGGCUCACUGGACUGGUAUUGACGCUGAGGAGCGAAAGCGUGGGGAGCGAACAGGAUUAGAUACCCCGGUAGUCCCUGUCUCUUAUAC